UACGGGAGGCAGCAGGGGGGAAUAUUGCACAAUGGGCGCAAGCCUGAUGCAGCCAUGCCGCGUGUAUGAAGAAGGCCUUCGGGUUGUAAAGUACUUUCAGUCGUGAGGAAGGUGUUAAGGUUAAUAACCUUAGCAAUUGACGUUAGCGACAGAAGAAGCACCGGCUAACUCCGUGCCAGCAGCCGCGGUAAUACGGAGGGUGCGAGCGUUAAUCGGAAUUACUGGGCGUAAAGGGCACGCAGGCGGUUAAUUAAGUUGGAUGUGAAAUCCCCGGGCUUAACCUGGGAAUGGCAUUCAAGACUGGUUAGCUAGAGUCUUGUAGAGGGGGUUAGAAUUCCAUGUGUAGCGGUGAAAUGCGUAGAGAUGUGGAGGAAUACCGGUGGCGAAGGCGGCCCCUGGACAAAGACUGACGCUCAUGUGCGAAAGCGUGGGGAGCAAACGAGGGAUUAGAUACC
rnacentral:rRNA from 1 species